GAUGAAGAACGUAGUGAAAUGCGAUAAGUAGUGUGAAUUGCAGAAUUCAGUGAAUCAUCGAAUCUUUGAACGCACAUUGCGCCCUUUGGUAUUCCUUAGGGCAUGCCUGUUCGAGCGUCAUUUAAACCUUCAAGCUAAGCUUGGUGUUGGGUGACUGUCCGCUUCACGGCGGACUCGCCUCAAAAUUAUUGGCGGCCGGUCCAUUGGCUUCGAGCGCAGCAGAAACGCGAACUCGGGCCCGUCGUAUUGGCUCCCAGAAGCUAUCUUCACAAUUUUGACCUCGGAUCAGGUAGGGAUACCCGCUGAACUUAAGCAUAUCAAUAAGCGGAGGA
rnacentral:misc_RNA from 1 species